AAAGGAAUAGACGGGGGCCCGCACAAGCAGCGGAGCAUGUGGUUUAAUUCGAAGCAACGCGAAGAACCUUACCAGGGCUUGACAUCCCGCGCAACACAUUGAAAGGUGUGGUUCCCUUCGGGGACGCGGAGACAGGUGGUGCAUGGUUGUCGUCAGCUCGUGUCGUGAGAUGUUGGGUUAAGUCCCGCAACGAGCGCAACCCCUACCAUUAGUUGCCAGCAGUAAGAUGGGGACUCUAAUGGGACUGCCGGGGAUAACUCGGAGGAAGGUGGGGACGACGUCAAAUCAUCAUGCCCCUUAUGUCCUGGGCUACACACGUGCUACAAUGGCCGCAACAAAGGGAAGCGAAGGAGCGAUCCGGAGCGGAUCUCAGGAAAAGCGGUCUCAGUUCGGAUUGUGGGCUGCAACCCGCCCGCAUGAAGUCGGAGUUGCUAGUAAUCGCGAAUCAGCAUGUCGCGGUGAAUACGUUCCCGGGCCUUGUACACACCGCCCGU
rnacentral:rRNA from 1 species